GGACUACUAGGGUUUCUAAUCCUGUUUGCUCCCCACGCUCUCGCGCCUCAGCGUCAGUAUGAGUCCAGGAAGUCGCCUUCGCCACGGGUGUUCCUUCCGAUAUCUACGCAUUUCACCGCUACACCGGAAAUUCCACUUCCCUCUACCCUACUCUAGGUCCCCAGUCUCAUAGGCCGUUCCCAGGUUGAGCCCGGGGCUUUCACCUAUGACUUAAAGACCCGCCUACGCGCCCUUUACGCCCAGUAAUUCCGAUUAACGCUCGCACCCUCUGUAUUACCGCGGCUGCUGGCAC
rnacentral:rRNA from 1 species